UACAGAGGGUGCGAGCGUUAAUCGGAAUUACUGGGCGUAAAGCGCGCGUAGGCGGCUUUGCAAGUCGGGUGUGAAAUCCCCAGGCCUAACCUGGGAACUGCACUCGAGACUGCAUGGCUAGAGUAUCGGAGAGGGAAGUGGAAUUUCAGGUGUAGCGGUGAAAUGCGUAGAUAUCAGGAGGAACACCGGUGGUGUAGACGGCUCUCUGGACCGUAACUGACGCUGAGACACGAAAGCGUGGGUAGCAAACAGG
rnacentral:rRNA from 1 species